CGAACUUCAUUUCCCUAGCGUCCUUAUCAGUCUUCAUUCGCACCCAACCAAAGAUAUUGUCGAGUCUCUCAAUACUUCUAAUUUUUCCCCUUCUGGUAUUUUCUCAUCUAACCAAUGAACCAGCUCCCUCUUCAGUUGCUCGAACAUAGUGAUGUUCCAGAAGAGCAUCAACAUCUAAGGUUUGUCUCUCACAUAAAUCAUCUUUCCGUAUCAGCGACGAACAUCAAUC
rnacentral:lncRNA from 1 species